rnacentral:lncRNA from 1 species
GACCUGCAAAGGAAGUCUAAACCGGAGGUGGGAUUGCUCCGGCAAGACCCUCCGACGCUCAAGUCAGUUCUCUGCCUCAACAAGAAUGGAGUGCUCGAACGGAGAAUUUAGCAAAGUUUUGAUAUAAGAAAUGAGCUUAGAGAACAACGUAUCUGGGUCCCCCUUUUAUAGGCGGAGGAGGCAACGGAUUGAUGGCGACAUUUGUAACCGUCUGGUAGUGGGCCGCCCAUGGUCAGGGGAAUUUAUUGCGAA